rnacentral:rRNA from 1 species
UCGGGAAUUUUGGGCAAUGGGCGAAAGCCUGACCCAGCAACGCCGCGUGGGGGAUGAAGUAUUUCGGUAUGUAAACCUCGAAAGAAUGGGAAGAAUAAAUGACGGUACCAUUUAUAAGCUCCGGCUAACUACGUGCCAGCAGCCGCGGUAAUACGUAGGGAGCAAGCGUUGUUCGGAUUUACUGGGCGUAAAGGGCGCGUAGGCGGCGCGGUAAGUCACUUGUGAAAUCUCUGAGCUUAACUCAGAACGGCCAAGUGAUACUGCUGUGCUAGGGUGCGGAAGAGGCAACCGGAAUUCUUGGUGUAGCGGUGAAAUGCGUAGAUAUCAAGAGGAACACCUGAGGCGAAGGCGGGUUGCUGGGCCGACACUGACGCUGAUGCGCGAAAGCCAGGGGAGCAAACG